rnacentral:lncRNA from 1 species
GAGUCUUCGGUGUAGGAGUUGUGCUGUAGAUGUAUCAUUUGGGGCUGGAAAUAGCUCUGUCAUUUGAUUUCUAUAUUUUGAGGAGUUGUAUCUUUUUGUAAUGGUCUCCUUCUCCAAUAAAAGAAGCCCCAUUGGAAAGGAAGGAACGCUACACUUGCAUGGGGGUGUAAGGUUCCAGGAAAUGGUUAUAUGGCCACAGAAAAUAAAAUAAAAAGAAGUAACAUAAAAUGAAUAUGAAUAACAUGAAUGAAGAAAAAGGAUUUAAGGAGAGAGAGAGAGAUUAGAGAAAGGAUUAAACUUUUGGAGGCAGGAAGAUGGUAACAGGUCAAUAUUUCAGCUCUUCACUUCUAGAAGAAAGUCAUGAAUUUGAACUACACAGACCAUAGAAAACUGAAGAGCAAUCAUUGCCAACACUGAAUUGUCAUGGUCCCUGCCGUAUGUCUUUAUCAAGAAGACUACAUUUAGCCUAAUCAUCUGACAAGCGUUGAAGAAACUUUAUCAUUUAUGUUUUACAAACUCCAUGGUUGAUGAUGAGAAGAAAUAGAAAAAGGCAAGUCAGAGUUUCCAGAGUCAGCAAAUUUGAGGACAAGGAGAUCACUCAGACCAGCCAAGCAGACAGUAAAUGAAUCCCUGUAUUGUUCUAUUUUUUUUUCUCCUUCUACAAAUCAUUUCCUCAUUUUAAGUAAAGAAGGAAAUAGAAGGCUGAGAACUUUGGCUGGAACUGGCUUUUUCAAAGCAUUUCUCACAAAUGUGAAGAGGAACCGGGGGUUGCAAGGUUCUGUAGGAAGAGCGAUGUAGCCUCGGCCACACGGAGAUGAAAGAGCCACAUUUUCCUAAGUAUUUCUUCUGUGAUUGGAGUUUCAAAGGAUUUAAAAGGGCAGCGGGGCGGAUGCUUGCUUUGUGACAAUGUAGUUCUGGCUGGGAAGCAGUGUGCUUAGAGAAAUCAAGUAGAAUGCUUCACAAGAUGUAAAAAUUCUUUCUGGCUUUGGAGUUUCAUGACAAAAGGUGAAAGGUGUGGUGCAGAGGUCAGGGCAGUUGCCUGAAAUGAAGACCUGAGUUCCAUUGCCUGAAUCCACAAGAUGGAAAGGACUUGACCCUCCACAUCCACAGGGGUGCUAUGGCAUGCAUCUCCCCACAACCCUGCAAAAUAAUACAUGUAAAACAUUUUUUUUGAAAAGAAAAUCGAUUUCU